rnacentral:lncRNA from 1 species
AGCAUGAAUAUCUAUGAGUAGUAUUUCAAAAUAUGAUAUGAAUACUUGAUAAGAAUGAUUUAUGAAUCAUAUUUACAAAAUAUUCAUGAAUUUAUGCAUGGAUGAUUAUAUUUAUGACUUAUUUUGUUAUAUGUUCUAUAAAAUAUUUUAUUUUUAUAAUAUUUAUUAUUUUAUAAAUAUUAUAUUAUCAUAAAAAAUUUAUGCUCAAUUCCAUAAGGAAGCAUAUAUUCGACUUGCUAAGCUACUGUAGCUCAUAUAUUUUUAUUUUUUUCUUUUAUAGAAGA